rnacentral:lncRNA from 1 species
UCCAACUUGAGGGGGGGUGUUGAGAUGAGAGAUUAUAUGGCUUCCAAGCCAAAGCAUAAGUGACAUAGACCUGUAUAUUCAUUGUAUAUUUAUUGUAUGUUCAUGGUAUACAUUGUAAAGGGCUGUGAUGAUUAUUGAUGUUGGAUUGUGAAUAUCUGAGCCCAUAUCUAAGCCCAAGUUUAUUUUAGUCUUGGUCCGGCUGACCCGACCCAAGAGUGGAGGG